AAAAAAGAAGAGUUUAAAAAAGAAAAAAAUAAUUAAAACGAUUAUUCUUUUUCUCUCCUUCUCUUUCCCCGUUCUUCCUCUCUCGCCGAUCUCUCCCUCUUUCUCCUUUCUCCCUCUCCUCUUCCGCCUCACGCCCGCACAAUCCUCCCCCAACUACGAUCUGCUUCCGAUCGGCCAGCCCCACUAGCGACUUGGCUUCGGCAGCGCCUCCCAGACGAGCGGCGGACCCGGCGGUGCAGCGGCAAGAACCGACUAGCGCGACUUCCGGCGAAAAUCUGUAGUGAGCGGCGGCGUCCGGCACAGAUCUGAAGUAGAUCCUCGAACUUCGACGAUCCGCAGCAGCCGCCGACGACCCAGCAGCCACCAGCGACGACGACGACAACGGAAGGUCGGAGCAGGCGCAACCUCGACGCGAAACCACGUGUUUCGUCAAGUUUCAGCAGCGUUUUCCCUCAUACAGCGUUCGGACACUAAUCGACGAGGUUUUGGGACGUUUGACUAAGUUUUAGUGGAAUUGACGUAGGGAGCUAUUCGAACACGUGGCAGCAAGGGAAACAGUCUAUUUCGGCAUUCGGAUCGAGGUUAAGGUCGCUUAUCUGCAUAGUUGUUGCUCAAAAUGGCUGAUGCAAAGUCUACAAUAGCUAAAGAUGUUACUGAACUAAUUGGGAAUACACCACUUGUAUACCUCAACCGUGUUGUUGAUGGCUGCGUGGCUCGGGUAGCUGCCAAGUUGGAGAUGAUGGAGCCUUGCUCCAGUGUCAAAGAUAGGAUUGGCUAUAGCAUGAUUUCAGAUGCAGAAAACAAGGGUCUUAUCACUCCGGGGGAGAGUGUCUUGAUUGAACCUACCAGUGGUAAUACUGGUAUAGGCUUGGCCUUCAUUGCUGCUGCCAAGGGUUAUAGACUUAUAAUUUGCAUGCCUGCAUCAAUGAGUCUUGAA
rnacentral:misc_RNA from 1 species